GACGAACGCUGGCGGCGUGCUUAACACAUGCAAGUCGAGCGGAGAGGCCACUUUGGUGGUACUCGAGCGGCGAACGGGUGAGUAACACGUGAGUAAUCUGCCCCUGGCUUUGGGAUAGCCACCGGAAACGGUGAUUAACACCGGAUAUGACCACGUCUCGCAUGGGGUGUGGUGGAAAGUUUUUCGGCCAGGGAUGUGCUCGCGGCCUAUCAGCUUGAUGGUGAGGUAAUGGCUCACCAUGGCUUCGACGGGUAGCCAGCCUGAGAGGGUGACCGGUCACACUGGGACUGAGACACGGCCCAGACUCCUACGGGAGGCAGCAGUGGGGAAUAUUGGACAAUGGGCGGAAGCCUGAUCCAGCAACGCCGCGUGAGGGAUGACGGCCUUCGGGUUGUAAACCUCUUUCAGUACCGACGAAGCGCAAGUGACGGAAGGUACAGAAGAGGCACCGGCCAACUACGUGCCAGCCGCCGCGGUAAUAC
rnacentral:rRNA from 1 species